GACGAACGCUGGCGGCGUGCUUAACACAUGCCAGUCGAACGGAAAGGCCCUGCUUUUGUGGGGUGCUCGAGUGGCGAACGGGUGAGUAACACGUGAGUAACCUGCCCUUGACUUUGGGAUAACUUCAGGAAACUGGGGCUAAUACCGGAUAGGAGCUCCUGCUGCAUGGUGGGGGUUGGAAAGUUUCGGCGGUUGGGGAUGGACUCGCGGCUUAUCAGCUUGUUGGUGGGGUAGUGGCUUACCAAGGCUUUGACGGGUAGCCGGCCUGAGAGGGUGACCGGCCACAUUGGGACUGAGAUACGGCCCAGACUCCUACGGGGGGCAGCAGUGGGGAAUAUUGCACAAUGGGCGGAAGCCUGAUGCAGCAACGCCGCGUGCGGGAUGACGGCCUUCGGGUUGUAAACCGCUUUCGCCUGUGACGAAGCGUGAGUGACGGGAAUGGGUAAAGAAGCAACGGCUAACUACGGG
rnacentral:rRNA from 1 species